UUUUCAAAUGGCAACCCAUAAUAAAAAUCUUAUAAAAUAAUAAAACUAUUUUUUUUAUGAAUUAUAACGUUAAAAUUUUCAUAUUUUGUUAAUCCGUAGACGAGAUAUAGCUCUUCCAAGUUUGCUGGUUUUGGGUGGUAUUAGUGCAGCGUAGAUAUUUUAUACCUCGUCAGCAGAUACCAUAGAAAUUAUGAUUUUUAUGCCCCGGGGUAAAAGAUAUUUCACUUUUCAAAUAAAAUCAUGAAGUACAGUACCUAAGCUUAAGUUGUGCCUGUUUAUUUAAGUAAAGUAUAAUGCCCAUUUGGUAGGGUGUCGCGACGUUCGAUCCACUGCAGGUGAUUGCCAUAAUAAUGCUUAUCGUUUAUAAAGACCAGAAGUCAUAAGUAAUGAAUUCGAUAUCGUUCGACCCUAAAGUAUAAUGGUAAUAAUCAUUGUACAUUUGUACCUACUAUCUAUAAUAAAAAUACCUUUAAUAACUCACUGUAACAAUGUUAUUUUAUAAGUAAUUGGACCAUUACUGUCACUAAUUGUCGCAUACUCCCUUGUAAUCCCCACUACAUACCUUCGGUAACGGCUGAUUCGCGAUUAGGUAAAUCAUCCUUUUUCUGAACAGCUGCUAUUUAUUUUAUACGUCAUAUUGUUCUUUGUUAUCUUAGUUCCAUGGUUACAUGAUAUGGUAGUUUACCUGAUACCUGGUUAUUGUUAUCAUCCACAUGACGCUGAGUAAACAGCACGAUUUAAGAUAAUAUGGUUGCCCAACGACCCAUUAGAAAAAUGUUUUCACACGGCAUACCUACGGUUUGAAUCGAAAAGUCACGUGUUCUGCGGGGUCAGUUGGACAGUGUUGUAAGUUAGGUUAUACGAUAUUACCAUGGGAGUAUGAAAUACGCAAUACUUACUAAACACUAAUAAGUGUAAACAGACACUCGUCUUUAUUAUUUAAUAAUUUUAUAUUUUACAAUUUUAAAUGUUUAAAUUGUAACAAUAGACUUACAAUUAUUAAUAUAGUAUUAGUUUUUGUAAAUAUUAAUGUCUUGUUUACCACGUCAUGUUGUACUUUUAUAAUAAUUCAACCAAAAUAACUUAUAAGUACCUAAAUUGUUAAGCGUCACAUGUGAAUUGGAUACUUAGCGAGUGCGUGUUCGCGAAUACUGUAAUACAAUUUAUUGUUUAAUGAUUUCUACAUAUACAAUUUUCGUUUAAUGUAUACCUAACUUAUGGAUCACUAAACCUACUGGAUAUUAUUUAUAUUUUGAUAAUAUAUUGGCUCAUAUCACAAUCAAGUGGUACUGUUUUUGCAUAACACUACACAGAAAUAUUACAAUCAUCUAAGACAUUUUUAUAAUUGUUUAUAAUUUAAUUAUGUCAUCACGAACUCUACUAUAACAUACCAUUUGGAUGAUCCUGUAUGUAUAUUAAAAUUAUAUUUAUAUUGCUAUCUUCAAUUUCAUUUGCAAAUGGUAACAUCAAUAAAUAACAGUAUUGCUUCACAUAUUGGAUUUUAAUAUUUCAACAAACUACAAAUUAAAUUAAAUGAUCAAGUUAAUUUGAAAGAAGUGGACAACAAUUUAGAUGGACUAACUGCGUAUAACAAAUAAUAUGUAUUGAAAACUAAAAAUUGUAUAAUGUUAAUGUUUUAUAAUUUCAUAAUAUUUUUUAAUAAUGCAUUUAAAUGAGGUGACAACAUCAAUCAUUAAGACUCAAAAGAUAUGUAUGUACAUAAUAUUAUAUACAUAAUAUAUAUUAGUAUGCUGUGUACUUACGUUUGAUACAUCAUACAUAAUGUACAUAAUAUGUAGAUUGUGUAAUUCAAAUAAAGUAUAUUUCAAUUAAUACAAAUUACUUUAGAUAAUAUGCUUGAAUUCAAUAUUAAAUAAUAUCAGAAAUAUAUUUUAACUUUAAACUAUAUUUUAUUGCUUAGUAAAAUGCAAAUAACUUAUAUUAUUUCUGUAGGUGAUUGAUGUUGUUGCCUAUUUAUAGCUAUUACUACUGAAGUAAUAAAUUCACGUUUGAAUAAUAUUAUAAGGGCUACUUUUAAAUUUUACUAUUGUUUUAAGUCUGGGGGUUAUGGAGAAUUUUUUCUCAUUUUUUGAAUACAUGUUAAUCUUUACUCAUAUUUUGCAUAAUUGCACAACGAAUAUUUAGAUUUAACUGUAUCAUCAAAUUUGAAAUAGAUUUUUCAUGGCCACAGACUUUAAAAUGAUGGGUAAAAUUAUAUAGUGGCUAAUUAUAAUAAUAAUAAUAAUAAUAAUAAUAAUAAUUAUAUUUUCAUGCAUAAAAAUACUUUGAAAAUUGUAUAAAGUUUUUAUUAUGUACAAAUUAAAUUUUACUCAAAUAUGCAAAAAAAAAUAUAUUAGCUACAUAAAUAGAAUUUAUGCAUUAAGAAACAUUGAUUUUAACCAGAAUUAUUUUAAGUGUAGAAAAUUAUAGAUGUAUCAAUUAUGUAAAAACUGGGUCAUUAUGACAAUAAGUUGUUUGAAAUAAAUUAUGUUUAACAAA
rnacentral:lncRNA from 1 species